AGGAAUUCUCUGAGCCAGAGAGAGGAGUGUGGACUUUAUCCCAACAAGGCACGCCACCCACGCCCUGCUGCUUUAUUCCUGUCCCUAGUCCCACUGUGACUGGUUUGGCCUUCUGCAUCCCACUGGCCCUUGCCUAGCCUCGAGCUUGCCCAUGCGUCAGAAUCAUCUGUAAAGUUCAAAAAAAUACAGCUGUUUGAACAUCACCUGGACUAAAUCAGAAUCUUUGAAGAGAUACCUGUGAUUUUAAAUGACAGGAACCAAGAGCUUCGAGCCUAAAGUGGGUGAAAAGUGAUUUCUACCUGGAGAAAGUUACUGCUUCACUGUGCAGAAGGAGGUGCCCUGGUCCUUGCCUGAAGGCUGGAGGAGGUGGCUCAGAAGAGGCAGGUGGGUGAGGAUGCCACUUAGUGUCCCCCAGGAGGAAGUGAGCAGUCUGGCUCCUGUACGAGGGGCACUUAGGUUUCUUCCAAGUCUUGGCUAUUGUGAGUAAUGCUGCAGUGAACACAAAGGUGCUUGUAUCUUUUUAAACAACAAACACGUAGAUACAGAGAACAGAUUGGUG
rnacentral:lncRNA from 1 species